rnacentral:rRNA from 1 species
CCUACGGGAGGCUGCAGUGGGGAAUAUUGGGCAAUGGGCGCAAGCCUGACCCAGCAACGCCGCGUGAAGGAAGAAGGCUUUCGGGUUGUAAACUUCUUUUAACAGGGACGAAGCAAGUGACGGUACCUGAGGAAUAAGCCACGGCUAACUACGGGCCAGCAGCCGCGGUAAUACGUAGGGGGCAAGCGUUAUCCGGAUUUACGGGGUGUAAAGGGGGAGUAGGCGGGAAGGGAAGGCAGAUGUGAAAACCAUGGGCUCAACCUGUGGCCUGCAUUUGAAACUCUUUUUCUUGAGUACUGGUGAGGCAGCCGGAAUUCCUAGUGUAGCGGUGAAAUGCGUAGAUAUUAGGAGGCACACCAGUGGCGAAGGCGGUCUUCUGGACUGCAACUGACGCUGAGGCGCGAAAGCGUGGGGAGCAAACAGGAUUAGAUACCCUUGUAGUC